CUCUGGGGUUGCGGUGCUCAUCUCGCUUUACUGGCCGAGGGAGCCAGCAUACAGCUUCCGGAUAGGUCCAUUCAAAUGCAGCUUGCCUGUGAUAGGUCCACUUGAAUACAAGACUCCCAGCAACACACAUAGUCAGAGAAAGAUGGGGUGCCAUCUGCCAACAGUCAGAAGUUUGCCCUGGGUGUGGACCGUGGCUAUGCCAGGGCACAACCGCCACUUGCCAUCAUAGGAAGGUAAGCAGUCCUUUCAGGGCUUGAUAUUCUUGAAUCAGGGCCUAAAUAGCCUGGUUGAUAUCAGUGGGGACCCACUGCCUGCCACACCAGCAUCGUCCACCUCUAUUUGUAUGUAUGUAUGUAUGUAUGUAUUAAAUUUCUAUACCGCUUUAUAUUUUUAAUAAAAAUCUCAAAACAGUUUACAGCAUAUUAAAACAAUAAAAUAAUAGCCGGGCAAUGUUCCUCUGGACUCACGAGGAGCAACAUGGAGUGAAGGAAUGUCCUAAAGAAAUACAAAGUAUUGCUUCUGGAUGCCUCUAAGUAAGGAUCUUCAGAAAUCCAGUCUUAGUCAUUCAUUUGCUUUCUGAAAGCUUCUUUCCUUGAAAAGUAGGGCAUAAAUUCACAUUGUAACCGGGGAACAGAAAGAGUAGUUCCAAGACCGUGGUGUAUCACUUAAUCAAGAGUAGAUAAGUAACUUGAAUUGUGCCUGUAGAAUAAUGAGACUAUAGUGAGAGGGAGGAAAGUAAGGGGGGGAAACCUGUGAUAACGAUACUGAUUGCUUCACAAUCAAGAGUCUUAAGGGGCAGACAUUGUGGGAAACUCCUCUGUUACUGGGUCCUAUUAAUGGCAGUGCAUGACUGCUAUUCUCUUUUGCACCUGAUCAUCAUAUGGCCAGAUGAAUGAAUAAGUGGACCCCUCCAACCUUAACAUAAAUAUUCUGUUUCACAACUGAGAGCCCAAGCCCAAUGCAUUUUGUGGACGGAGUGGAUUGUACAAAAAGUUUUUUGGCAUUAAAUCUCUCAUUUUCCCAACUCUGCAGCACAUCUUAUGGUCUUCCACCCCCAUUUCGUGCAACGUGACAUCCCUUAUGUUACUGACUCUUGCUUUCAGCAACCAAAAUGGGGGCAGGAUUAUCACUCGAGAUGGCUCCUACCUUGCAGAAUAUUGGCUGUGGAAAUGAAAAAAAGGCAAUAAAGAAAUUCCAUUGCCACAACUCCUUGUUUUUUCCCCAAUAAAAGAAGAAAGUCUUUAUUAAAAAAAUUCUCUGCAAAUAAUUAUAUAUUUUAAAGUACACAAAACUGAAUCCUUCUUGAGAGCUAACCUUCUCUAGUUUCCACAGUGGGUGACUGCCAUUACAAACCAAUUACCCCAGAAUAAACCUGAAGUAUAUCACAACACUCCCCCUGCCCUGCCUAUUCCGCCAGGCAAUCCAUUAGCAAAAAGCUUCUGCUUAUGUGCAUAUAUUAACUUAACCUAUUUUACCUCACAGGCCUCUUACAAAGACAGAAGGAGGGAGGAGAACAACUGACACAACCCUUAACUCCUGGUAGAAAAAGACAAGAUACAAAAUAUCUCUCCCCCCAAAAAAACAAAAGUUUGCCAACCCUGAUCAAUAACAAGCAAAAAAAUAAUUUAAGUAUGUUCAGUUUCACAGAUUUGGUGUCUGAACUACCAACUCAGUCUGCCUCACAGGGCUGUUGUGAAGAUUAAAAGGGAAGAGGGGAAUAAAAUUUACAUAGCCUUGAGCUUCGGGGAGGAAAAGCAAUAGAAAGAUACAACCAGCAAGAGAUACUAUUAAGUAUGUAUAGCUUCACAGCUGUCAGCAAAACACACACACAUUUUACCAACCUUUAUUAAUAAAACCACCCGUGUGCUGAAAUUCAUUCUACAGGAUUAGCUCAGUUGGUUAGAACACGGUGCUGAAAACACCCAGGUUGCAAGUUCGAUCCCCAUAAGGGACAGCUGCAUUUUACGGGGUUGGACUAGAUGAUCCUCAGGGUCUCUUCCAACUCUGAUCUAUGAGUCUAUGAAUACUGACUUGCUCCAGCUGUAGGGCAUUUGAUGGUUUUUUCAUUGUAUUUGCUGGUUCAUUUUGUAUUUUACAUUUGUGGUUCCUGGUUCCUAUAUAAAUAACAGUGAUGACAAACAGCCCGUUAGCAGUUGUGGGGGGACAUGGAAAAUUGGAGAGGGUGUUGAAUAUGGCAAUAUCACAAUUUUUUUUGAGUAGGAAGGAAACUUCAUUUAUUUCAAGGGAAAUACUUCAGAGUAAAAUAUGCCAAAGCCAGCUGGUUGUGUUUGAUAAUGUUAAGGCAGCACACUUGGGGAGUAAGUGAAAUAAUGUGGAUGUGGAGGAAGGUACCUCAGUACACAGGAAGACUAUCCUCUGUUCAGAUUGGCAGCAACAGAAACAAGCUUCUUCUCCUGUUUCUUCUGCUGUCCUGGGAGGGUCUCUCUCAAGCCCAAGCGGGGAUGGUCAGCAUUCCUUUCUGCAAUUGCAUAGCAACAAUGAUUAAACAUACCUAGCUUUUCUGUAUUUGUCUGCCAAAGCCUGACAACGUUAUCUGCACAUUUUCCUUUCUAACUUUCUUUAUAGGUGUCAGAUUGACUUACUGUUCUAAAAAAAUGAAAGCUGAGAGUUUGGGGCCCAUGCUGGUUCAGCGCCCAAGAAAAGUAUUCUCCACCAGCAGCCCUGAUCGAAACUGGCCACUCACCUUCUGCUGCAUGAACAAUUUCACCCGGAACAUUUUGACAGGACAAGAAAUGGCAAGUUCUGACGCCAGCUGAGCUAAUUUUGUUAGCAAUUCUUGAGUGAGACAUAAGGUCAAAAGUGCCAAAGGACUAAAGCGCAGAACGCAAUCAAAAUGUAACAUAUUUUCAUAGAGAUACAACAGUGGCGUGACGUGUGCUUUUGCUUCAAAGAGGAACGACAACGUGUCUCGUUGUUUUGCAGCUGUUAGAAAGAUGGAGGCAGUAAUUGCAUAAUGUUAAAUGAUGCAUUGCAAAUUAUUUUGAACUGCUUUGCAAAGACAUUGAAAUAAAGGGAAAAAAUACAUUCCCCCUUCUGAAAAUGGAGAGAGAGGAUACAGUCCAGACUAACUGCUUCAAAAACUCACUGAUUUCAAUGGAAGCCUGCACUUAGCACUACUUUUCGGAUCAAUGGGAAAUAACAGUGCUUAAGCUUGAAUGGUUCAUGCCCUGAGUUGUCUAAUAAUUACAAACUAACAACCAUAUACAAAGCAGCCAAACAGGAGUUAAGUGGACAUGUUGUGUGCAUGCUUUGUGGCUUGCACAAGUGACGCUAACACGCCGUGCGGCAUGCAUGAGUGAGAUGAGCACGUCAAAUGAUGUGCAUCCACGACAUGCACACAGUUGCUGCAGAAUUUUGAGGGGGCCUUGCCCCUUCCUUGAAUUUUUUUGGGGACCCUUGCCCCCCUAGAUGGCCCUCCCUGCCCCAGGGAGUCCACAUAACUCACCCAGGGGGUCCCUGGCACCACUCACAUAACAAAAGCUAUCAUAGAGUUAUCAAAAAGCUUGGCUUUUGAAAAAUGGGGGCCACAGUCCUUACCUAAUUGGGAGUCACUUCCCUAAAGUAUCUGUAAUGACGCAUUGCUAGAAUAGGGGGUCAACAAUCAAUGGUUCCUAGGUCAAUUCUGCAUCCCAAGUGAGUGCAACUUUGCUGCUUCUUCAAGUUUCCAAAGCAGAGCGGUAUUGCUGAUGGUUCCCAAAUCAAUUCCAACCAGGGACCCUAAGUCCAGAGAAAAAAAGGCUGUGUUCACACUCCUGAUUACCGUACACUCUCUGCGUUUCCAGGGCUGGGUUUUUAAUCCAUGUUCACACAUUACCCAAAAGGUAUAUGUAUCCUGCACUUUGUUAUAAGGUGCUGCUGUUGGAUGCUGUUUGUCAAACCAGCUUCACACUGAUUGGAGUCCUUAAGGCACUCCUAAUUCCUUAGCGUGGGGUAAAGUUGUCCCUGCCUGUCAAUGCCGCCUGGUGUGUAAACGAUUAGCAGCCCAUACUUCUAGCCCACUUUGUGCCAUUAGGAGAGCGCAUCAGAUUGGGCUGUGUGUACAGCCAGCUCCAACUUCCAUGUCACUUAUGUGUCAUUAAAAAAAGAAAAAAAUCAAGCCCAUAAAGACACAGUCUGUGCUUUCAGCUCCUAAAUCAGAACAACCAAAAAGCUUUUAUCCACAGAUUACUUCUUUUCAGAUGGUGCCAAGAUGGAG